ACUUUUCCUAGCAAUCAUUCUCAUAAAAUCAAAUUCUCUAUUUUUUUAUUAGUUAGCCAUAAAGUUCGUUCUUAUAUAAAUAUAUAUAUAUAUUUAUAUAAGAAACGAACUUUAGAGAGAUAUAGAGAGAGAGAGAGAGAGAGAGAGAACACUCCAUAAUCAUCCAAUUAGAAAUCUAAGGGUAUUUUUGACAUCACGUAAAUCA
rnacentral:lncRNA from 1 species